CUUCUCUCAGUACCACACCUAGAGAGUUUCCAGUAUUCUACCAGUCUAGGCUAUGGGAGGGAGAGUCAAGCAGAGGCAUACCCAUUCCAUUCCUAGCUUGGGCAGUAGCUAGCGAGUGAAAGGCAAUCUGCUACAAGU